UUUCCUAAUAUAUGUAAGUAAAAUAGAAAGUUUGGUAAUUGUUAUAACUCAUGGUAGGAUUAGUCCUUUGAUUCGUUUCUGUUUGUCUAUUUUGCUGUGUGCAGUUCUGAAAUUGUCCAGCAGGGAGCUCUCACUAUAAAAGAAGCAGGAAAAGCCUGACUCCUCCCCUUUCCUAACCUGGAACAACUUCCUGUUCAGACCCACCUGCUGCCUCCAUAUUGUCUGUGUGUUUGUGUUAGAUUUUUUGGUAGUUUUUCUUGUGUAUAUUUGGGUAAAUUAGGGGGUAAGUAAUGGUUUGUCUGAUUACCUUUUCUCCUGGUUUAUUAGUAGUGAGUUGGGUAGUUUGUGUAAAUUGGUUUUAUUUUAUUUUCAGGUUUUAGUGGUUUUGGGUUGUGUUCACCCCUGAAGUUGUACUUUCCAUAUUUGUGUCUCUAAAUUAAUCUUGAUUUAUUGAGUUUUUAUUGUCUGGUAUUUGGUCUGGCAGAGGGUUUGGGGAGUGAGUCCACUCUUAUUACUUGUUUGGUGAGUAGUUUUAGCAUUUGGUAUUUAUAAAAAGUUAAGAUUAUUUUUCUCCUCCCAUUUUUUAGUUAAAGAUUAUGAUUUUUGCCCUUUUGUUUUUUGUCUUGGUGACCUUAUUGGCCUUCCCUUGUAUUAGUUAAAGAAAUGUUAAAGAUUAAUUUAUUCACAUUUCAGUUAGUUUUAGACCUGGAUUUGUUUGUGCUGUGACCUGGGUUACUGUUAGAUCCCUUUUUUUGUAAUACAUUAAUCUUAUUUUGUUGAAGUUUUUAAUGUCUGUUUGGUUUGACAGAGGGUUUGGUUGUGAGCCCACUAUUACUUUUUUUUAAGAUUUGGUUUGUCUAAAUGUUUUUGUUGCCCUCACUUUUUCAGUUUUAAUUUUUUAAGCUCUGUUUUAGGUUCAGGAGCUGAUCCCAUUUGCAGGUUGGGAUACAGUGGACACCAGUGUUGGAAAAGUUGAGAAAGUUGAGUAAGCUCUUCAUGGUGAAGUUAAAACUUCCCAAAGGAAUGAUUUCUAAUCCUUUGCUGUUUUUAGUUUGCAGCAUCCUGGUGAUUUUUGUAGGUGUUAGACAUGGUAUUAUGGUAAAUAGAAGCUUGUGAAUGUUUUAUUUCCCCCCUCAUGCUUGGUUAUUAAUUAUUUGUAAUGAAUUAUUGCUGUUUUAUUGAGUUUUUAGUGUCUGGUGUUUGGUCUGGCAGAGGGUUUGGGGAGUGAGCCCACUCUUAUCUGUAUGGAAAUCAUCUUUUUAGAUAGUCAGGGGCUGAAGGCUGUAAGCUCUUCAUUCAAAGUGUUUGGUGUUUGGUCUGGCAGACAGUUUUGGGUAGUGAGUCCACUCAUUACUUGUAUGCUUUUAGGUUCAGGACCCAGAUCCUGUUGGCAGGCUGUGAUACAGUGGACACCAGUGUUGAGUAAAAUGUUCAGUCCUGAAACUGGCCACCCGGACCAAUCCUCACCUUUUCUGACCUGGAAAAACUUCCUGCUGACGUCCUCCAGACCAACCGGACGCCUCAAUUUUUGAUUUUAUUUUUCUAGAUUUUUUUUUUUCCCCGUCCUUCAAUGUAUCUUUAGGUACUUUAUGUGUUUUGGCUGGUUUAUAUCAGUUCCCUUCAGUAUAUGUAUUAGCAGGGGCAAUGAUUAGCCCAAGUGUUAAGUAUCUUUUUAUCUAUAGCUAAGUCAGUACCACUUUUUUUUUUUU